rnacentral:rRNA from 1 species
AACGAACGCUGGCGGCAGGCCUAACACAUGCAAGUCGAGCGGACCUUUCGGGGUCAGCGGCGGACGGGUGAGUAACGCGUGGGAAUAUGCCCUUCUCUACGGAAUAGUCCUGGGAAACUGGGGGUAAUACCGUAUACGCUCUUUGGGGGUAAGAUCUGGCGGUGCAGGAUUAGCUUGCGUCGGAUUUGGUUGUUGGGGGGGUAGUGGCCUACCAUGCCGACGAUGGGUAGCUGGUCUGGGAGGAUGAGAGGCUACACUGGGCCUGGGAUACGGCCCAGACCCGAAUGCGACGGAGGGGAGGGGAAGGGUAUCCUAGGGGAUGGGGGCAAACCUAGUCUAGCCGUGCCGGGGAAGAGGGGAAGGGCGUUGGGUUGUGAAGCUCUUUCAGCUGGGGAGAUAAUGACGGUACCAGCAGAAGAAGCCCCGGCUAACUCCGUG